rnacentral:lncRNA from 10 species
CCUCAUUCUCUAGACUCAGCAAGGCCUGAAGGGAUUGUCUCAGGCUCCUCCACUCCAGCCUUCUAAGGGCCCAAAGUGGUUCAGAGGGGACGCUCUCAGCGUUCCUUCUCUUCCAACAGCUGUGACAACCUCUGACUCAUGCCUGGGACAAUUUCUCUCAGUUCUGGUGUACCUCCAGUCCUCUGUGUGAGCACUUGAUGAAGAACCCUGAGAAAGAGUGGACAGGGUGCUGUAUUGUCAGCACAUUCUACAGUUAUUCUUGAGAACUACAAGUGAGAAAGAGGGGAGAACUGGAUCAGUCCAAGGCCACCUGGGGAACUGUCCUACACAGGGAAGGAUGAAAGCAGGUCGUUGAUCCAUGACAGCUGAGGUGCCAGGGCCAUGCUCAAGGAUGUUGGAAUUCAGCCUUCUGAGAAACUUUUAUCAGAGCAAGCUAUCAGCGCUUUGUGAAGAAUCAUUUUAAAGGUAAGUCUUGUAGCUCUGACAUAUUACCCACCAAAAUUGGUUAUAUACAAGAAAAUAUUUUAUUCAGAGUUUAUAUAAAUUUUUAUUUAUAUACACUACACGUUACUGUUAGGU